GCGGGACAUCCGGCCCCUCACCCCGCCCGGCAUCUCCUGCGCGCGCCCCCAACCGACAACCCGCCUCGCGCGCCCCUGUCCCAACAGCACCCACCCUCCAGCUCCACGCCUCGCGCCCUGCUCUGCCUUCACGCGCCUGCCCGCUAGCUUUAGAGGCGAUCCUCCUUGAGUGUCUGUGUAUUGGCCAGUCUCGCGUUCCCUUGGGUUUGGGAUAGUCUCGCUCUGUCCAGCUCUCUUGUGUCACCCGUUUGGGUGUCUGUUACCAGCUCCAGUGACACAGGCUGAUUUUGUUCUGGAGAGUCUGCUAAGCAUUGCACGUUUCAUUGUGCUACUAAGGAAGUCAGCUAGGCCUGGCCUGGAGUAGGAAAAAUACUUGUAUCUGGCAGCAGGUGUCAGCACCAGUUCACCUACAUUUAGAUGAAACUUCCUGAGUAAAGCAGGAAAAACGGUCUUCAACACCUCACAAGAAUACUAUGAGCAGCUGGAGAAGAGGACUCCAGACCAGAAGCUGUGGAAAGGAUCUACAAUGUACAUCAAAUAACUUGACUAAAACUGAUUCUAAAUAUGCUUUGGAGCCAAAGACAGCACAUUUUUGGCAUCAAGUUAAUUUGCUUUUGCCCACUACAUGGCAUACAAAGCCUUAUAAGGUAAAGUGCUUUUAUACCUCACUGGUUUAGCUGAGACCUUCACACUUCAUUGUGCUUUGCAUUCCAUGGCAAGAAGCCUGACUCACUGAUCUCCCUCGCUGUGGUUUUAUCUCAGUCCCUGAGUCAAUUCUUUGUUCUCUGUCAGGUUGUAUUUUUAUGUCUCUUGUCAAAGUACCAAUAGCUUUUAACUAGAGAUUGCCAUUCCUUUUCUCAAGCCAGGCUAUGUUUUGCUGGGUCUGUCAUCACUUAACUGAUACUUCUUAGGGGAGGGGUUUA